UCGCGGCCUAUCAGCUUGUUGGUGAGGUAAUGGCUCACCAAGGCGUCGACGGGUAGCCGGCCUGAGAGGGUGACCGGCCACACUGGGACUGAGACACGGCCCAGACUCCUACGGGAGGCAGCAGUGGGGAAUAUUGCACAAUGGGCGCAAGCCUGAUGCAGCAACGCCGCGUGAGGGACGACGGCCUUCGGGUUGUAAACCUCUUUUAGCAGGGAAGAAGCGAAAGUGACGGUACCUGCAGAAAAAGCGCCGGCUAACUACGUGCCAGCAGCCGCGGUAAUACGUAGGGCGCAAGCGUUAUCCGGAAUUAUUGGGCGUAAAGAGCUCGUAGGCGGUUUGUCGCGUCUGCUGUGAAAUCCGGAGGCUCAACCUCCGGCCUGCAGUGGGUACGGGCAGACUAGAGUGCGGUAGGGGAGAUUGGAAUUCCUGGUGUAGCGGUGGAAUGCGCAGAUAUCAGGAGGAACACCGAUGGCGAAGGCAGAUCUCUGGGCCGUAACUGACGCUGAGGAGCGAAAGGGUGGGGAGCAAACAGGCUUAGAUACCCUGGUAGUCCACCCCGUAAACGUUGGGAACUAGUUGUGGGGUCCAUUCCACGGAUUCCGUGACGCAGCUAACGCAUUAAGUUCCCCGCCUGGGGAGUACGGCCGCAAGGCUAAAACUCAAAGGAAUUGACGGGGACCCGCACAAGCGGCGGAGCAUGCGGAUUAAUUCGAUGCAGCGCGAAGAACCUUACCAAGGCUUGACAUAUACGAGAACGGGCCAGAAAUGGUCAACUCUUUGGACACUCGUAAACAGGUGGUGCAUGGUUAUCGUCAGCUCGUGUCGUGAGAUGUUGGGUUAAGUCCCGCAACGAGCGCAACCCUCGUUCUAUGUUGCCAGCACGUAAUGGUGGGAACUCAUGGGAUACUGCCGGGGCAACUCGGAGGAAGGUGGGGAUGACGUCAAAUCAUCAUGCCCCUUAUGUCUUGGGCUUCACGCAUGCUACAAUGGCCGGUACAAAGGGCUGCAAUACCGCGAGGUGGAGCGAAUCCCAAAAAGCCGGUCCCAGUUCGGAUUGAGGUCUGCAACUCGACCUCAUGAAGUCGGAGUCGCUAGUAAUCGCAGAUCAGCAACGCUGCGGUGAAUACGUUCCCGGGUCUGGUACACACCGCCCGUCAAGUCAUGAAAGUCGGUAACACCUGAAGCCGGUGGCCUAACCCUUGUGGAGGGAGCCGUCGAAGGUGGGGCUGGA
rnacentral:rRNA from 1 species